rnacentral:lncRNA from 1 species
CUGAAAAGAGGCGAUGGACACACAUUUUUGGAUGUGACUAAUGUUGAAAUUCAUUUUGCUUGACUAAGCAUAUCUGAAAACCUCCCACCUCCCUAAUUGGAGCCUAUGACUUUUUGUUUGUUCAAUACCACCAUGAUCCAGCUCAACUUUCUAGUUGGAUGGAGAUCAGAGAACUGCUUCAUCAGGAUAUAUAUCUUGGAGAGACAGCAAAUGGAUAAUGAUCUCAGCCAAGUAAUGACAAGAUAGAGAAGUUUAUGGUGUAUUCUCUAUUUAAAAAAAUGCAGUUUUAUACUGACCUCAAGUUUCCCUCCGAAUCAAGUGUCCAUCUAUUUUCAUAACAAUUUCAUGUGGUGAUGCUUUAUUAAUUGCAAAUUAUGAAAUUCUGGUUUCAAAAGAAUUAAAGUCAAUAGUCAUUCAAAGGACAAUGGAGAGUUUCCUGCUAAAGGCAAUCAAAUUUUGAGCAUUCCAAAUAAAAUGUUGCACAAGAAAAAUCA